AUAACGUGGAGAACAUACGAAAGGCACAUGUUUUAACCAAUAGUGACGUACAAGUGCUAAGUUCUGCAGUAGGGGAAGGGCAGAAAGCCAUGGAGAGGGCCUGGCCCAAUCCUGGAGCCUCAGAAAAAAGUUCCCCGUUGAAUUGCUGUUUUAGCUGAGACUUCUGGGAUGGGUAGUAGUUGGAGAUCCCAGACAGGAGGUGACCGAGUUAGCAAGGGAAAAAUUGGGUCCUGGCACCCAUGGCAGAGUUGAGUGAUCCAGUCUUUCUGUCUCCACUGGCUGGAAGUCCACCAGAUCUGGGAAUGUCCAGUUGGGGGAGGGGGCUGACAAUGAUCAUGACCUUCACCUGUCCUCACAUGUCCUCUGUGUAUCUGCAAAGCCUCUGCCUCAGUCUCCUCUUCUGGAAAGUGGAAUUGGAAACCACAUCUGCUUCUCUCCCAGGACUGCUAGGAAGACAAGAUUAGAUGGCAGCAAGGUGCAUGGGUCGACUGAGCUGGGAGAGUCCACGGUGUCAGCCUCCCCUACGCUUCCCUCCCUCCUUAUUCCUUGUAUGCUGUACUUUCUUGAUUUCCUGUACUCUGCACCAAGCCAGGAGAUGGUCUGUUCUUCCCCUGGAUUGUAAACUCCUUGAUGUCUGGGUCAUCUCAGCUCAUGAGCUGAGCUUUCAGUGGGUGCUCAGUGGAACAGGUGCUGAAUGGAGUCAGGCUGUAGGGAGGCCAGCGUGUGUUGGUAAGUGAGAGACAAAAAUCAUUUUAAAAAGAAUCUUUUUGCCCUUCAGUUGUGUUUGCCAUGAGUUAAUGUGAUUUACUCU
rnacentral:lncRNA from 1 species